CCUAUUAUUGUUAGUGUUGUUGCUGCUUGUUCCUUCUGUAUUUUGUUCAUUGUUUUUGGGUUCAGCUGCUUUUCCUCGCUUUCCCUUGGGCUGCAUGGUACGGUAACAGAAGCAAUAGAGAAUUAAGAACAUUUCUUUAAGCUCAGAGUGGUAAGGUAACAAUAGUAGUUCAUUAUUUGUGAAAGUGGUGUGAUUUCUAAUGCCUAGAAUGUUAUAAUUAUAAUGAGUAAAAUAAACUACGACUUACAAACCAAACAAAAAUACUUCUUCAACUAAGAUUAUAUAUAAAUAAUGAACUUCUACAUAUAGUAAACAUGGAUUUAGAGUGUCCAAACUCAGCUCCAAAAUUGUCAAAUGGGAUGCCAAAUAUGCACUUAAUCUUAGCCAAUGAGAAGAGAAAUAAGCUACAUACUCUUUUAAUUCUCAAAUAUUUACAAUAAUUUGAUGUAGUAAAAUUAUUCAACCUUUUUCUUUGAAUCGAUGAGAACUCAACUAUUAUGGAGCUGAUCUUGUUGCAUGUAUCAAAAUAAAUAAUCUAAUAAUAACAUCUAAGAGGACAUAAUAGUGUUACUUUAGUUAUUUUCAUAACCACAAAAAAUAAUUUAUAUUUCUCAUUUAAGUUUCUCCCUUGCAAUUCCAGUCCGACCAUAUUAAACAUGGUUAAACAAUAAAAACUUGGAAAGUAAAUCGAACGAUUCACUUAAAAUUAAAAAAAAAUAGAAUACUAUUAUAAUAUCUUAUUUUAUUCCAAUUCAAACAAAUAUAACAAAAAUAUUACUUCAAUAAAAUUAUAUACAAUUAUUAAUUUAUAUAAAAUUUCGAAUUUAUAUAUGAUAAUAUAAUAUAUAUAUAUAUAUAUAUAAUUAUUUAUUAUAUUUAAAAUUGAUCGAUCUAGUUAAACGGUAUCAAUUAAAACUAAUAUGAAACUUCUUCUAAUAUGUUCUAUCCACAACAUUGCUUCUAAUAACACCCACAUCAACCCAACAAUUAUAUGCACCUAAAGUGAAAUGGACCGGUGAAAAUAAGAAGUGGAUAAUGUGAUGCUGCAUCCAAAUUAUGUUUUCUCCAUUUCAAAUACAUAAAAAUGUCUCCUUUUAAGUCAAUUUCAUUAUUUAUUAAGUGAGUCUUAAAACAUAAAAAAUGCAAGGAUCACCAUUUACACUUAUAAAAGCCAAAUCCGACCAUGCAAUUACCACAACAUUCACUAAUAAGAGAGAGCGAAUAGUAUGGCUUACGUGGUUGAAGAGUGAAGCAUGCAAGGGAGAAACAGUUUUACUCUUUGGUGUAGUUGUUCUCCCCCUCUUCCUAUUUGGCUGCAUGGAAGGAUAUUUUGGAUUGGUCAAUAAAAUAAAUUUUAGUAUCUAAUAACAACAUUUUUUUAGAAAAGAGUCACUAUAAGUGACCCAUAGUACAAGACAAAACCAAUACUAUCAUUUUCUCUAAUAUGAAAGAGACAAAUACUAAAAAAAAACAUGAUAUGAUAUUUAUAUCCUUUUAUAUACAAUAAAAUAAUAUUUUUACUGUAAAAGGUAAAAAAAGAACUCUCCUAUCCUAUAUUGGAAAGGAUCAGAUUCCAAAAAAAGACAUGUUAUCCCAUCAUAUUAGAAGAAUAUAAAUUGAAUUAUUUAAUAGGAACUUAUGAUUACAAAAAUAGUCACAAUGUCUUAAAUAGAGUGAGAAAAGGCAAAUAAAACAAAGAUAGUAAAUGAAACCAUAUUAUGUCAUAUAUAUUUAACAAGGUUUUAUAUUCAUUAUCAAUUGUUUAAUACAACUUUCAUCUUUUGUAUGAGCUUAAAAUCAACUAUAUAUAAUAUCAAAUACACAUUAGCAAAUAUAAUCUCAAUUCUAAAAUUCUAUAAAAAAAGAUGAGAUAUACAAUUUGUUCUGAUCCAAAAAACAGAGGAUAUAAGGAGAAGAAAUUCAAACAGGGGAGCACAAUGCAUAAACGGCACUAAAUUCACAGAUACAUAAAAUAUUACAAAGGUUAAACCUCUUUGACAUGGGAUUCUGCAGUCAAUUUCAAUUUUUCCAUAGUAGGCAAAAUGAUGAAUAAACUCAACCAAACAAUAUACUAUUCCUGCAAAAAAAAUAGAGAAGCCAUUAAUAUUAACCUUAUUAGACCCUUAUUAACAAAACUAACUGACCCCAAACAAACCUUAAAAACUGUUAAAAAACAAUGCAAUGCAACAGCAAAUGCAUAACACCAAAGCUCUUGGAAAAUGUUAUGUGUAUAUAUAGAGAGGAGGGAUCCAUUUAUACUAUUAUUAAAAGAGCUUUUUCACUCACAUUGCUGAUCUUUAUCUUCAUUAAUUGUUAAUUGUGAUUUCAUUUAUUAAUAUAAUUUGAUGCAAAUAAGAUUAGUAUAGGGGGAAAAUUUUCUUACAUUGUUUUAAAUGUAUUUCAUUCAUGACUUUUGUGUAUAUCUCUUUUUGAUCAAUAUCUUAUGAGGAGGGGGUAAAAUUGACCCCAAGAGAAUCAAAAUCUUUUUCAUAGUUAUACUUCAUCUUUUUCAAGUGAUUUAUUGGAGAAAUUUCACUUGAAAAGUAGUUAGACCAUGUGAAAGAAGAAUUGUAAUUCCUAUCAUCUAAAAUGUUAAAAUAACACAUAGAGUUACAUUAAGAUUUAAAUAUGAAAGCUAUUGCAGCAUCUCUUGUAAUCUGUCAAAAAAAGAUUAAUCUUUAUUGGGAAAUAUAAAAGAUUAAAAUAAUAUGUUUCAAACUUUGUUGGUAUAAAUUAAGUUUAUUUUAAAUAACAAAUAAAGAUAGGCCAAGUCAACACUUUUAUUGAAAAUGCGGUCAAAUUUUAAGUGGUGAAAUUCACUUAAGACGGAUCAAAUUUGCCUAGCGAGAUCUUAAAAGGGUUGAAAAUUAUUUUAUAAUUAUUUUUAAAAAAUAUGUACAAAAUUGACUUGAGAUUCAACAAUUUUAACCCAUUUAUUUCAUGGGUUAAACAAGUUAAGCUAAAAAUAUAACAUAAUUUAAACGGAUAAACAAUUAAAAGCUAAACUCUAUUAAUCUCACUAGUCAAACAAGUUAAUAUAAUUUGCACAUCUUAUCAACACACUUAACCGUACAAGAUAUUUAGGAGCAAAUUGUCAACUACAUUACCAAAAAUAACGAUUUGAAAACAUAGAUCCUCCCUAAUAUUUGAGAAUCCAAUACUUGAUGGAGAUUGUAACAUCUGUUCUUGAAAUUUUAUUUAUAGUAAAAUUUUAAAUUAUUUUCUUUAUAAAUUAACAAAUCCACAUUUACCCAACAUUUUAAUAUUAAAGUGGAUCUCAACUCAUAAUGUGAACUAUCCACGAAGAAACAAUUUUUAAGACACUGGGGAGGUAAAUAACCGUUCAUAUAUAGACUCUAUGUAAAUUUGACAAAUAAAUCAUGUAAUUUAGAAUUUGUAACCCCGCAUCGGGUGAGGUUACAAAAAUAAAAUAAGAAAGGUAGUUUCAAAUGUAACAAGCAUGCAUUUCUUGGAAAUCUUGUCAUUUAUGGUAGUUAUGCACUUUGUUUUUGUUUUUUUCGAAGACAGAGAGAAAAAAUAGGUACAGUGGAAGAUCCAAGCACAAACUUUUAGAGUAUGAGUGACAAAUAUAUUUAUGUGUGCAUUAGAAGUGUAAAAAUUUGAAAAUGAAGAUUAAAAAAUAAUUUAAUUGUAAUAAUAGAUAUAUAAUUAUAUACCUGAAAAUCUUGCAGGGCUCUCUGUGAGUGACAGUAAUAAUUUC
rnacentral:lncRNA from 1 species